rnacentral:rRNA from 1 species
ACGACGCUGGCGGCGUGCUUAACACAUGCAAGUCGAACGGAAAGGCCCUGCGUUUGUGGGGUGCUCGAGUGGCGAACGGGUGAGUAACACGUGAGUAACCUGCCCGUGACUUUGGGUUAACUUCAGGAAACUGGGGCUAAUACCGGAUAGGAGCUCCUGCUGCAUGGUGGGGGUUGGAAAGUUUCGGCGGUUGGGGCUGGACGCGCGGCUUAUCAGCUUGUUGGUGGGGUAGUGGCUUACCAAGGCCUUGACGGGUAGCCGGCCUGAGAGGGUGACCGGCCACAUUGGGACUGAGAUACGGCCCAGACUCCUACGGGAGGCAGCAGUGGGGAAUAUUGCACAGUGGGCGGAAGCCUGAUGCAGCAACGCCGCGUGCGGGAUGACGGCCUUCGGGUUGUAAACCGCUUUCGCCUGUGACGAAGCGUGAGUGACGGUAAUGGGUAAAGAAGCACCGGCUAACUACGUG